GAUCCAAGGCAAGUGAAUGCAGUCACUACCCGCAGUGGUAGAGAGUGAGGAGCUUGUACUGAAGAAAGUGGUGCGAAAGACUGUAAACUGAAUAUGAGCAAGCGGAGCCCGAAAAGGAGGUAAAAGUUUACUGAUUCAUUGGCAUGUUCACACAGAAAGCAUUUGUUGCACAAAAAGGGACCUUUUUUUGCAAGUUGUCAUGGAUUAAAUGAGCCUUGCCAGUCAAAUAUUGCGUGGAAGCAUUUUCAUCAUUUUACGUUUCCGGAAAAUGAUGUCACAAAUUGACAUUAUAUUUUCAUUGAGUGCCAAUUGAAGUGGCUGCGACCUCAUCCUCAUUCCAUCCCUUUUCUCACUCAAGGACACAAGCAUAGGGAAGAGGGGGAACAAAAAUGGGGAGCAAGAAUCAGG
rnacentral:lncRNA from 1 species